rnacentral:misc_RNA from 1 species
CGCACAGAGGUCUCCGAUGUGAAGUCCACGCCAUUCCAGCCUUACAGCGAGGUGUUUGGGUUGCAAAGGUUUAGGGAGUGCGAGCUCAUUCAUGGAAGGUGGGCUAUGUUGGCUACUCUCGGGGCACUCACCGUUGAGUGGCUCACUGGAGUCACCUGGCAAGAUGCUGGAAAGGUGGAGCUAGUUGAAGGGUCAUCUUAUCUAGGCCAGCCACUACCAUUCUCCAUUACUACAUUGAUCUGGAUUGAGGUUUUGCUUAUUGGGUACAUAGAGUUCCAAAGAAACG